AGAAAGAAGGUGACAUGUUUAUGGACCCAGAACUAGCUAAGACAGUUCUCUGUGUACAUGCGGAUCACUUCAAGAAUCUUCCUGAUGAAAGAAGGUUGCGUGGUUUGUUAAAAGACUUCGAUCCGCUCACAGCCAUGCAGAUUAAGAAGAAUUUAGAUCGACAUUAUUUUGAUAACAAUGAAAACUCAAAUGCUUGGAACGAAAUGAGUGGAGUUGAACGACGCCCUGUUUAUUGAAACUUCAUCAAUCAACUUUUAAACUAUGCAGGGUUUCAAAAUGUACAAGGCAUCAUAUCAAAGAUUGCAUAUGCCCGAAAGAAGGACAAAUCCAAUUUGGCUUUCUGGAUGUAUGGAAAGCUCUCAACCUUCCAGAAAAGUACUUUUCAAAGGAACACUUAAAUCCCUCCGACAGGCCCUCUGGUGGUGACGUAUAUAAGUGCUUUCUCAGUUCUUUCUCUCGCUUUUGGACAAAUCCAAGUGCUGUAUCUGUACCCGAAUAGAAAUAAAGAUAAAAUAAAAAUUUUAAUGAAACAGUUUUCUUCCGCUCUGAAAGUGAACGAAUGACAAAACAGUCUAGAGAAUUCCUCGCCCUGCUGUAGAAGAUCAAUCCUGGGUUGUGCUCACCAAAGCAAACCUCUUUUUUGUGUAUUCAGUGUCUUAACUAUGUAAAAGACAACUAUAACAGGGUGUACAGUGCUGUUUCUGAAAUUGACGAAUCCUCUUGUGAUGAAGAUUGAAGAAGCUAUUGCCAUCCAAGUGGAAAAAGUCCCGCCUUUGUCACCCUCCUCGAAUAGAACUAAGAAAAUGUGGAGACUAUCUUCAUUUAGUUCCCAAUCAAGUGGACCAGAUGUUGAUUUGUUUGAAAUGGACUGAGACUUGUGUUUCAUAUGCCAGGUUGAACAGACGUUAGAAACGAAAAAGGAUAGUAUGAUUCAAGGAAAAGAUAAAAGUUUCUUCGUCGAUUUCGCAACAUACUAUCUGUGGACAUCUACAGAAAUCGUCAGGAUCUGUGCAACAUCGAUCUUAAUCCUGAUUCGCACAUGAACAAGUGCCCUGUUCUUAACCCUGAGAGUCUCGGAAAAUAUCUCUAUAGCAAGCUAGGUAGAUAUCACAAAACAUGUCGUUUGAGGUACAGCAACUCGAGGGUGAAACAAUUGAAGGGUAAAUUAUCUGAAGCUGUAAGUUUAAAACCUGUCUCUAAGGCAGGUUUUAAAAUGGAAAGACACGUGUCCACGCACGACAACACCAAUGCUGCAUUAAUGAGUGCAGGUAUUGACGCUGUACGGACCUUUUAACUGGAGCAGGAGAAUGUUUUACCAGAACUGUACCUCGUGUCUGACCUGAAGCUUAAGUACAAUGACUAUGUGACGUCUAAUUUAUCUGAGAACGCUGCAAACUCAAGCAAUGUUUAAUCUGAUCACAUCAGUUUUCAGAAAGACAAUGUCGGUAAGACGAGUUUGUUUCGACAGCAGAAUCGUAUCUAAUCUUGCCGCAACAAUAGAUGCGGAUAGAGAUGAUAACACUUUAACAAAGACAGCACUCAUAAUAUAAAGGAGAUCAGAAAAGAAAUCUUUCAAUGUAGAAACGAAUUCUAUCAGCUAUGUUCGAUUUACUGAUCGGUGGCAUCUGUAGAAAUAUAGUGUUUAUGUGGAUUAAUCUGUUAAAGCAGGGCUAUUGUAUCAUUUUAACAUUAACUUUGCAUAGUGAUGA